GACAGAGGUCCCGAGCGUUAGGCGGAAUCACUGGGCUUAAAGCGUGUGUAGGCGGAGUUCUAAGUACCUUGUGAAAUCCCACGGCUCAACCGUGGAACUGCUUGGUAUACUGGUUCUCUUGAGCCACCUAGGGGCAACCGGAACAAACGGUGGAGCGGUGAAAUGCGUAGAUAUCGUUUGGAACGCCAAUGGUGAAAACAGGUUGCUGGAAGUG
rnacentral:rRNA from 1 species